GAGGGCGGCGGAGACGUGUGGGGGCUGAGUGCUUGCCCUCCCCUUCUUCUUCAUUCCCCUUGACGCCUUAGGGAGGGGAGUGGCUGGUGUCCAGGUGCUGCGUUGCAAGUCAGUGUCUUGGGUGCCCUGAACUGCGAUUGGCGCGAGGGGGCAUCCGGCGCCUCCAUGAUGGCUUCUGAUCUAGGAGAUACCUCAAGUUUGGAACCCCCUUCGGUGCCCCUUCUGGAGACUCGGGUACCAUCGAAAAAAGCGAACAGAAAAGGGGGGCUGCCGGAGGCCAAGAGGAAGGGGCGAGCUAGACGGUUG